AAUAGGAAAAUGACAAAUCAGAUUUUUCCUCCUAAUUUUCAGCUUUUUCCUCUUGAAAAAAAUUCAAAUCCAACUAAAAAUGCUAAAAAUCAGGAGGAAAAAUUUAAUUUAUCAUUCUCAUAUU
rfam:Gossypium arboreum cultivar AKA8401 contig_8645_7, whole genome shotgun sequence.